CACAUAUGUAAUAUAAAUAUGUAGGGAGUUGCACAGUGGACCUGAACACCACAUAUGUAAUAUAAAUAUGUAGGGAGGUGUACAGUGGACCUGAACACCACAUAUGUAAUAUAAAUAUGUAGGGAGGUGUACAGUGGACCUGAACACCACAUAUGUAAUAUAAAUAUGUAGGGAGUUGCACAGUGGACCUGAACACCACAUAUGUAAUAUAAAUAUGUAGGGAGGUGUACAGUGGACCUGAACACCACAUAUGUAAUAUAAAUAUGUAGGGAGGUGUACAGUGUGCGCUCAAUGAAAAUGUGUUCUUUUACAUGUUCUUCACAGAAAAUGAGGGGGGGGCAGUAGGUUCAUCCUGUAGGCUGUGAAUGUUCAUGACACACAGCACUCAUGGGACGGGCUGUCAAGCAUGACGGGACGGGCUGUCAAGCAUGACAGCACAGACUAAGCACAUUCUGCGAGUGUGUGUGUGUGUUUUGAGCGUGUGUGUGUGUUCUGUGUGUGUGUGUGUGUUCUUUGCAUGCGUGAGUGUGUGUGUGUGUGUGAAUAUCAACCUGAGACCUCCACAUCCAUGACUUUACCACAGUGACUGGAUAAAAGAUGAUGCCUCGAUCAUCAUUGAACUGUCAAGGCUGCUUAUUCAGUGGCAUUCAAUCAUAUCACUGCAGAUAGAAAUGCAAUAUAUAGAGUUGACACUGUUUUCUAUUUUCCAUCACAGAGAAGCAUGUCUGGUCUACAAACAAACAUCUCAAUCUGAACUUACUCUCUCUCCUGUAUACACCUCUAAUGAGGAUGUUUUCAGCUGUACUUCUGUAACAGGACCAACUUCGGCGGAAGUCGUGACACCCACUCUUCAUCUUUCUCCAUCUCUCUGCAUCUCUAAGAAACGAUUACAAUUGCACCAUUCAUGGUCGUAUUCACACAUAACAGUAAACACACAUUAUCUCUCACAUACAGUUCAGCUACCUCUAUUACUGCAGCUCACCUAUUUAUAGGCCCCAACUGGUAGAAUGUACUGUAUGUCUCAAUCUCUCUCUGUUAGAUGUAAGCUUAUUAAGUUAGAGAACAUUACUGCUAAAGACGAGAUGGUCACAUGGAGCCACUGCUGGGAUUUCAACAUAGGAUCUCCUGUUUACUAUUCUAAGCAGAUUGUAAUAUAUUCCACUAAUGUCUUAUCAGAAUCAUGUUAGAUGAAUAAAUGAUAUCUUUCAAUCGGAC
rnacentral:lncRNA from 1 species